UGGGGAAUUUUGGACAAUGGGCGAAAGCCUGAUCCAGCAAUGCCGCGUGUGUGAAGAAGGCCUUCGGGUUGUAAAGCACUUUUGUCCGGAAAGAAAUGGCUCUGGUUAAUACCUGGGGUCGAUGACGGUACCGGAAGAAUAAGGACCGGCUAACUACGUGCCAGCAGCCGCGGUAAUACGUAGGGUCCAAGCGUUAAUCGGAAUUACUGGGCGUAAAGCGUGCGCAGGCGGUUGUGCAAGACCGAUGUGAAAUCCCCGAGCUUAACUUGGGAAUUGCAUUGGUGACUGCACGGCUAGAGUGUGUCAGAGGGGGGUAGAAUUCCACGUGUAGCAGUGAAAUGCGUAGAGAUGUGGAGGAAUACCGAUGGCGAAGGCAACCCCCUGGGAUAACACUGACGCUCAUGCACGAAAGCGUGGGGAGCAAACAGG
rnacentral:rRNA from 1 species